rnacentral:misc_RNA from 1 species
UGGCUCCUGUACCGAUGAAGAACGCAGCAAAAUGCGAUAAGUAAUGCGAAUUGCAGAAUUUCCGUGAGUCAUCGAAUCUUUGAACGCACAUUGCACCUUUUAGUAUUCUGAAAGGUAUGCCUGUUCGAGCGUCAUUAACAUCUCUCCAUCAAAAUUUAUUUUGGUCGGACGUUGGACUGAGUCUUCUGGUAGACUGGUCUCAAAUUCAUCAGCGGUUUUGAGAAACACGGAGCACGAUGUGGUUUAGAUUAACCUCGUAACCCGGUGCUUGUCUGUUUGGGUCUUGAAACUUCUUUGAACAAAAAACUUUUCACAUGUUGACCUCGAAUCAGGUAGGAUUACCCGCUGA